rnacentral:rRNA from 1 species
UACGUAGGGUGCAAGCGUUGUCCGGAAUUAUUGGGCGUAAAGAGCUCGUAGGCGGUUCGUCACGUCGGCUGUGAAAUCCCGAGGCUCAACCUCGGGUCUGCAGUCGAUACGGGCGGACUGGAGUACUGCAGGGGAGACUGGAAUUCCUGGUGUAGCGGUGAAAUGCGCAGAUAUCAGGAGGAACACCGGUGGCGAAGGCGGGGUCUCUGGGCAGCAACUGACGCUGAGGAGCGAAAGCGUGGGGGAGCGAACAGG